rnacentral:misc_RNA from 1 species
UGGAGAAACUCAAGGGGCGGACGAUGGGGCGUACCCACGAACCUCGUCCGCGCCGUUGAAUUCACACCUGUGCACGUCUUGAUGCUCUCGUUCUACUUGAGACGCCAGUUUCAUGUUUUGCGACGACGCAUACGUUGUUCACACGCUCGUAUUUUCUUAGAAGAUUGACGUGACUCUCACGAGUCUCGAAAUGAGAAUGUGUA